CCUCUCCCCCCAUUCACUCCAUCGACGAAGCGCACGGAGGGUAACUGCGCAGGAGGAAACCGGCGAAGGACGCGGCGGCGGCUCCGGGCGUGGACAUGGACGAGAAGACGCAGGAUAAAGUGGAGGCGGCGGUGCUGGAGAUCCUGCGGGGCUCCGACAUGGAGUCCCUGACGGAGUACAAGGUCCGCACCGCCGCCGCCGACCGCCUCGGCAUCGACCUCGACCUCCCCCUCCACAAGCGCUUCGUGCGACGCCUCGUGGAGGACUACCUCAAGUCCCUCGCCGAAGAAGAAGACGAGAAGCAGAAGGGCGGCUCCCGCAAGGAGGGGAAAAAGAAACAGCAGCGUCAGGAGGAGGAAGGGCAGGAAGAGGAUGAGGAGAAGGAGGGGGAAGAGGAGGAGGAGGAGGAGGAGGACAAGGGAGGUGAAGGAAAAAAGGAGUUCGACGAUAAUGGAGACCUCAUCCUCUGCCGCCUGUCGAAGAACAGGAGGGUGACGCUGCAGGAGUUUAAGGGCAAAACGCUGGUGUCUAUCCGCGAGUACUACUUCAAGGACGGCAAGGAACUGCCCACCUCCAAAGGGAUGAGUAUGACGGUCGAGCAGUGGGAGACAUUCAGCAAAUCAGUACCCGCAAUAGAAGACGCCGUCAAAACACUUGGAGAAUCAGAUUGAAAGGAUGCCACAAAAACCUUAAAAUCUCGACGCUCGUUCUGGACCUCUGCAAGUAGAGUAGUCCAUGGGUGCUCUGAGUACUCCAUGGGGCUACUAGAGUUCAUCUGGACUUGUAUAACGGGCCCUUAAGGCUAUGGUGGACCGAAGUACCGGACCUACUGAUGUGUGCUGGGUAGACAGUUUGGGUGUGUUCGCGAACUAGUUCUCCGCCGGUAUGGUGGACCGAAGUUUCAUCGCUGUGCCAUGUGAUCUCGUGCUGUUUAAUUGUCCUUUCUGAUAUCGUAAGAUAUAACGGGCCCUUAAGGCUAUCGUUGUGAGAGAGUAGGACAACUGCUGAAAGCUGUCGGUUUCGGCUCAAGUUAAAUCAUUGAUCUUGAUGUUCACA
rnacentral:rRNA from 1 species